GAGUUUGAUCGUGGCUCAGAACGAACGCUGGCGGCAGGCCUCAAACAUGCAAGUCUAGGGGUGUAGCAAUACACACCGGCGGACGGGUGCGUAACGCGUGGGAACAUACCUUUCGGUACGGAACAACCCAGGGAAACUUGGGCUAAUACCGUAUACGCCCUUACCGGGAAAGGAUUUAUUCGCCGAAGGAUUGGCCCGCGUUCGAUUAGCUAGUUGGUGGGGUAAGUGGCCCACCCAAGGCUACGAUCGAUAGCUGUUCUGAGAGGAAGAUCAGCCACACUGGGACUGAGACACGGCCCAGACUCCUACGGGAGGCAGCAGUUGGGAAUCUUGGACAAUGGGGGAAACCCUGAUCCAGCCAUGCCGCGUGAGUGAUGAAGGCCUUCGGGUUGUAAA
rnacentral:rRNA from 1 species